UCUUCCGUAGUAUAGUGGUCAGUAUGUGAGCUUGUCAAUAUCCCAUAUUCUGGGAAUGCCUUCGCUCGAGACUGGGGUUCAAUUCCCGGCGGGAGAG